rnacentral:rRNA from 1 species
UACGUAGGGUGCAAGCGUUGUCCGGAAUUAUUGGGCGUAAAGAGCUCGUAGGCGGUCAGUCGCGUCUGCUGUGAAAACUCGGGGCUUAACCGGGGAACUGCGUCUGAUACUGGAUGGCUUGAGAUUGGGAGAGGGAUGCGGAAUUCCAGGUGUAGCGGUGAAAUGCGUAGAUAUCGUGAGGAAGACCAGUGGCGAAGGCGGAUCUCUGGACAGCUCCUGACGCUGAGGCGCGAAGGCUAGGGGAGCAAACGGG